CGGAACACGUACAGAACCUUCCUUUAAGCGGGGGAGUAGCCCAUAGAAAUGUGGAUUAAUACCCCAUAGUAAUAUUGACUGGCAUCAGUUGGUAUUUAAAGAUUUAUCACUUAAAGAUGGCUGUGCGGCUGAUUAGGUAGUUGGUGUGGGUAACGGCCCACCAAGCCAUCGAUCAGUAACUGGUGUGAGAGCACGACCAGUCACACGGGCACUGAGACACGGGCCCG
rnacentral:rRNA from 1 species